AAUGCAUACAGUGUUAGAUGCUGGGCCAUCUACUCCUUGCCCAAGAAAGCCCCUCCAGGGACAGCUGAAUCAGAUAACUGGAGUUUGCAUUCUGAGAACUAUUGUUCUGAAUUAACAUGUGAGGUUUUAAAAUUUUUUCUUAUUUUCUUGUUUAACUUAUUACAUUUUUAUCCUCUGCAUGGGGUUUUAGACUUAACAUCUCUGGAAAGCCAGAAAUCAGAGAUACAGAGAAGUAUUGAAAUGCUGAAAUGCUAUGAAUUUACUAUAAGAGAACAUUCUUCACUGAAGAGAUCUCUAGCUGCCAAAACACCCUUUCAUGCGUGAAAUACCGGGGCAAAGAGGAAGGAAAAGAGAAGAGUAUGACUCUAGGAACCAUGUUGCAGAAAUGCCAAAGGGUGGGACAAACAAAGUUACUAAUGUGGAGAAAGAAGAUUAUCAUGUGUGGAACGAAGGACAAUAUGAACAUUAAAUAAUGCCCUGACUCAUUCCAAAAAGAAUCUGAGAUGACCAAUAAAGCCAUUUUUAAUUGUUUAUUAGUGAACAAUAGAUUAUGAGUGCUAAAGGGAUUCAGGAAGAAGAAAGAUCAGUGCAGAGUAGAGAAGUCUGAUGGAUGCAUUGAAGAAGCUAUGCUUGAGCUGAAAUGACAAGAGAGCUGUUUUUCGCUUUCAGAAUUAUUAUGUGGCAAUGGUAAUUGACAACAGAGAAGCUGAAGGGAGGAAGUCACUUUAUGGGAGCAGAGUCACUCUCAAGUAAUAGCUGGCCAUACAGAUUGCUCUGGACCAAGGGUGAAUGUGAAGAAGAAAAGACCGGCCAGCAACACAAUGGAAUAUCUAGAGUCAUAUUGAGGGAAAUACUUAGAUUGCUGAUUUCUUAGUGGAUUUCACAAGCAGAGCUGCUUGUGAGCAGAAUGGUGAAGUAGGGGCAUGUGUUUCUGGGGUCUUAUUCCAUGGCUUCCUUCCACCUACAAGAGUCAUCCUCACGGAGUACUUGCAUUUCAGUAGAAGAAAAAAAUCUUAUAGAUGGAAGGGAAGGAUGGGGUUCCUGCUUUAGGAAGAUUGGCAUGGUCAUAAGUCUGAGCAAGGAAGGGCCCAGGGCAGCUCAGAGCUCUGAGCAGGAAGCUCUAAUUAGUUACUGAAUAUGGUGCAAGCACAAAGAGAGCGUAGUGUUUUCCCUUUCCAUCUGUGGAAGUCUUGGCCAUGCUUACUUGGGCGUUCCUUCCAGGAAACAUUUAUUUUUCCUCUUUAAUGCCCUCCUCAUAUCUAUGCUCUCAGUAGAGGAUGCCACUGCUUCUGGCACCUGGAUAAUAGAAUGAAGCUGAUUGGGAUGGAAACAGAAAAGUCAUCUCUCAGAACAAUGAGCAGAGACUGAAACUCCCUUGUACCCAGUCCCUGUGCACUGCUGUUCAUAGCCAAAUGGGCAAGGCCUUGCCAAAUGUCAUGUUGAGGUGAGGCCCUAAGUGAUAGAAAAAUAAAAAAUGACUAUGGCCACUUGCAUGUUCAGAGAAUUCAGUUUAGAAAAUGCUAUGCUGGGAGGAUCUCUCUUAAUAUCUUGUUUGCAUCAGAAUGUUCAAGUUGCAAUAUAUGUUUUUGUUUUGUGUAUUUAUUUAUUUUCCUCUACUCUAUUCUGUUAAGUCUUUUAGGGCAAAGGUAGGGUAGUCUAUACUCCCUGCGUUAUCCAUAAUGCCUAGCACUGUGUCUUGUACAUAAAAGGUCAUAAUAAAUACCUGUUGGCUAGAUAGAUGAAUGGAUAGAGUGCCUCAUUUAGAAGCAUUAUACUUCUAUGGAAAAAAAUUUUUAAAUGUAUUUUUUUCUAUGAGAUAACACAGUUCCUGAAUAGGUCAUGGGCAGGUGCUAUUCAAGUUUGCGAAGGAAAGGUUUUCCUAGAGUUAGGGUAAUUUUUUCCUCAAAUAAGAAAAACCUACAGUAAAUAAUUACUCUCCAUAUUAUCUUUAGGUUUCUUGCCAGUAUUAACAUCUUUUUUAUUGUAAGUGAUGAUAUUGUCUGUGAGAACAUUACAGUAGGUUAGUAUCCUGGGUUAAGCUAAGUGUUGUUGAAAAUAAUCCUGGACAUCCAAACAGGAAGAGAGGAAGUCAAACUAUUCCUGUUUGCAAAUAACAUGAUUCUAUAUCUAGAAAACCCUGUAAUGUCAGCCCCAAGGCUCUGUGAGAUCAGAGAUAAAUAACCUCAGCAAAGUCAACAUACAAACAUCAGUAGCAUUCCUUAUACAAACAACAUCCAAGCUGAUGGCCAAAUCAGGAUGCAAUCCCAUUCACAAUUGCCCCCCCAAAAAUAUAAAAUACUUAGGAAUACAGCUAACCAGGGAUGUGAAAGAUCUCUAUAAUAAGAAUUACAAAACACUGCUCAAAAAAUCAUAGAUGACACCAAAAAUUGGAAAAAUAAUCCAUGCUCAUGGAUUGGAUGAAUCAAUAUCAUUAAAAUGGCCAUACUGCCCAAAGCAAUUUACAGAUUUCACAGAUUCAGUGCUAUUCCUAUCAAAAUAUCAAUGACAUUUUUCGUGGAAUUAGAAAAAACUAUUUUAAAAUUGACAUGGAACCCAAAAGGGACCCCGAAUAGUCGAGGCAAUCCUAAACAAAAAGAACAAAGCUGGAGGUAUUAUAUUACCCAAUGUCAACAUAUACUACAGGGCUAUAGUAACCAAAAGAGCAUGGUACUGGUACAAAAACAGACACAUAGACCAAUAGAACGUAAUAAAGAGCCCAGAAAUAAUGUCACACCACUUACAACCAUCUGAUCUUCAAUAAAGCUGACAAAAACAAACAAUAGGGAAAAGAUUCCUCAUUCAAUAAAUGGUGCUGGGAUAACUGGCUAGUCAUAUGCAGAAGAUUGAAACUGGACACCCCACCUUACACUACAUACAAAAAUCAGUGUAAGAUGAAUUAAAGGCUUAAAUGUAAAACCUAAAACUAUAAAAACCCUGAAAGAUAACCUAGGAAAUACCAUUCUGGACAUAGAACUUGGCAAAGAUUUCAUGAUGAAGACAACAAAAGCAAUUGCAACAAAAACAAAAAUUGACAAAUGGGAUCUAAUUAAACUGAAGAGCUUCUGAACAAAAAAAGAAACUAUCAACAGAGUAAACAGACAACCUACAGAAUGGGAGAAGAUAUCUGCAAACUAUGCAUCCAACAAAGGUCUAAUAUCCAGAUGCUGUAAGGAACUUAAAUUUAUAAGCAUAAACAAACAACCCCAUUAAAAAGUGGGCAAAGGACAUGAAGAGAUACUUUUCAAAAGAAGACAUAUAUGUGGCCAACAAGCAUAUAAAAAAUGCUCAACAUCACUAAUCAUUAGAGAAAUGCAAAUUAAAACCACAGUGAAAUACCAUCCCACACCAGUCAGAAUGGCUAUUAUUAAAAGUUGAAAAAUAAUAGGUGCUAGCAAUGUUGUGGAGAAAAGGGAACACUUAUACACCACUGAUGGGAAUGUAAAUUAGUUCAGCCACUGUAGAAAGCAGUUGGGUGAUUCCUCAAAGAACUUAAAAAAACAGAGUUACCAUCCAACCUAGCAACCCCAUUAUUGGGUAUAAUCCAAAGGAAUAUAAAUUGUUCUAUCAUAAAGACACAUGCACAUGUAUAUUCAUUGCAGCACUAUUCGCAAUAAGAAAGAUAUGGCAUCACCCUAAAUGCCCAUCAGUGGUAGACUGGAUAAAGAAAAUGUGGUGCAUAUACACCAUGGAAUACUAUGCAGCCAUAAAAAACAAUGAGAUCAUGUCCUGUGAAGCAACAUGGAUGGAUCUGGAAGCCAUUAUCCUAAGCAAACUAACACAAGAACAGAAAACCAAAUAUGGCAUGUUCUUACAAGUGGAAGCUAAACAAUAGGAACACAUGGAUAUUAGAAGGGUAACAGAAGAUAUUGGGGCCUACUUGAGGGUGGAAAGUGGGAGGAAGGAGAGGAUCGGAAAAAUACCUAUUGGGUACUAUGUUUAUUACCUGGAUGAUAAAAUUAUCUGUCACCAAACCCCUGUGACAUGCAGUUUACCUAUAUAACAAACCUGCACAUGUACCCCUG
ensembl:lncRNA novel transcript